UAUUGUCGAAAUGGCAGACGUGACACCCGACGAAUGUGAGGAUAUUUGUAAUGAAAAUUGUCGCGUCCCACCGCGCAUAUCAAACACAAAAUAAGAUAUAAGACAUAAGACGCAACAAAGUGGCUGCACAUGACGGUUAUUAUGAAGAAGAUACAUCUAUAAUCAUAAGUUAGUUUAAUAUUUAAGCCCUAGAGGAUGAUGUUACUAUUGGUAUCUAUGAGUAAAUGGGUCAGGGUGGUUGAGCAGCAUCGGCACGCUGUCGUGUUUACUCUUCGUUAUUCUUGCCCGCUUUGGAAACCUUAAUUUACUCCAGCUCGAGGGACUCAGCGCCAACCCACACGUUCCAAUUUUCUUUUCAAUGCAAUUUCCUACUGCACCUAACCUCAAACCUCAAACCUCAAAAAUACAUUGUUGAAUCCUGUUAGUUAUAAA